CAAGUCGAACGCGAAAGUGGAGCAAUCCAUGAGUAGAGUGGCAAACGGGUGAGUAACACGUGGGUGACCUGCCUUCGAGCGGGGGAUAACGUCCCGAAAGGGACGCUAAUACCGCAUGACAUCCUGUCUUUUAAGAGAUGGAGAUCAAAGCCGGGGAUCGCAAGACCUGGCACUCGAAGAGGGGCCCGCGCCUGAUUAGCUAGUUGGUGGGGUAACGGCUCACCAAGGCAACGAUCAGUAUCCGGCCUGAGAGGGCGGACGGACACACUGGGACUGAGACACGGCCCAGACUCCUACGGGAGGCAGCAGUGGGGAAUUGUUCGCAAUGGGCGCAAGCCUGACGACGCAACGCCGCGUGGAGGAUGAAGAUCCUCGGGUCGUAAACUCCUUUCGAUCGAGACGAAUUUUCUUGGGGUAAAUAAUCCCGAGAAGUGACGGUACCGAGAGAAGAAGCCCCGGCUAACUCCGUGCCAGCAGCCGCGGUAAUACGGGGGGGGCAAGCGUUGUUCGGAAUUACUUGGCGUAAAGGGCUCGUAGGUGGCCAACUAAGUCGGACGUGAAAUCCCUCGGCUUAACCGGGGAACUGCGUCCGAUACUGGAUGGCUUGAGUUUGGGAGAGGGAUGCGGAAUUCCAGGUGUAGCGGUGAAAUGCGUAGAUAUCUGGAGGAACACCGGUGGCGAAGGCGGCAUCCUGGACCAACACUGACACUGAGGAGCGAAAGCCAGGGGAGCAAACGGGAUUAGAUACCCCGGUAGUCCUGGCCCUAAACGAUGAAUGCUUGGUGUGGCGGGUAUCGAUCCCUGCCGUGCCGAA
rnacentral:rRNA from 1 species